rnacentral:tRNA from 1 species
UGUAACUCAGUGGUACAGUACCUGCCUACCAAGCACAAGGCCCUGAGUUCAAAUCUCAGUA